GGCCGCCUGGCGAAAUGGCAUCGCGUCUGACUACGAUACUCAGAAAGUGGUGAAAGGUGUUCAUAAUCAGGAGAUUGCAGGUUCGACCCCUGCGGUGGUCA
rnacentral:tRNA from 1 species